UGGAGGGAGAGAGGGAGCCCCCCAACCUCAGUGAGGACAGCCCCGAGCAGGCCCCGGGGCAAAGAGGGGUGUGGAGUGAAUUCCCCCAGAUCAGCCUCACCACCCAGUAGUGUGGCCAGGAAAGGGUUAAUGAGAGCCAAGGUGGGUACCCGGAGCCAUGGCUGGAGGCCUGGGGAAAGCAAGAUCAGGAGCUGCCACCCAGUCUUUUUCCUCUCCUUCACUGCCCCUGGAUCUGGGCCUCCAGGGACGUGGAACCUGCUGCCCUCUGGGAUGCAGGAGAUGGGAGGGGUGCACAGUAGGGGGAAAAAGUCAGGCCCGAGCCAGGGGUUGACCCCAGGGGGAGGGGGGCAUGGCUGACACUGGAAAAUGGGGUUUUGCACUGGGUUUGUUGUUUUUUUUUGUUUUUGUUUUUGUUUUCCUUUAAAAUAAAAACAAAAGCUGUGA
rnacentral:lncRNA from 1 species